rnacentral:rRNA from 1 species
GUAGGCGGCGGCUACACAUGCAGUCGAGCGGAUGAGGAGAGCUUGCUCUCUGAUUCAGCGGCGGACGGGUGAGUAAUGCCUAGGAAUCUGCCUGGUAGUGGGGGACAACGUUUCGAAAGGAACGCUAAUACCGCAUACGUCCUACGGGAGAAAGUGGGGGAUCUUCGGACCUCACGCUAUCAGAUGAGCCUAGGUCGGAUUAGCUAGUUGGUGGGGUAACGGCUCACCAAGGCGACGAUCCGUAACUGGUCUGAGAGGAUGAUCAGUCACACUGGAACUGAGACACGGUCCAGACUCCUACGGGAGGCAGCAGUGGGGAAUAUUGGACAAUGGGCGAAAGCCUGAUCCAGCCAUGCCGCGUGUGUGAAGAAGGCCCUCGGGUCGUAAAGCACUUUAAGCUGGGAGGAAGGGUUGUAACCUAAUACGUUGCAGCUUUGACGUUACCAGCAGAAUAAGCACCGGCUAACUCUGUGCCAGCAGCCGCGGUAAUACAGAGGGUGCAAGCGUUAAUCGGAAUUACUGGGCGUAAAGCGCGCGUAGGUGGCUUGGUAAGUUGAAUGUGAAAUCCCCGGGCUCAACCUGGGAACUGCAUCCAAAACUGCCUGGCUAGAGUACGGUAGAGGGUGGUGGAAUUUCCUGUGUAGCGGUGAAAUGCGUAGAUAUAGGAAGGAACACCAGUGGCGAAGGCGACCACCUGGACUGAUACUGACACUGAGGUGCGAAAGCGUGGGGAGCAAACAGGAUUAGAUACCCUGGUAGUCCACGCCGUAAACGAUGUCAACUAGCCGUUGGGGUCCUUGAGACUUUAGUGGCGCAGCUAACGCAAUAAGUUGACCGCCUGGGGAGUACGGCCGCAAGGUUAAAACUCAAAUGAAUUGACGGGGGCCCGCACAAGCGGUGGAGCAUGUGGUUUAUUCGAAGCAACGCGAAGACCUUACCAGGCCUUGACAUGCAGAGAACUUUCCAGAGAU